rnacentral:rRNA from 1 species
GCUGGCGGCAGGCUUAACACAUGCAAGUCGAGCGGGCGUAGCAAUACGUCAGCGGCAGACGGGUGAGUAACGCGUGGGAACGUACCUUUUGGUUCGGAACAACACAGGGAAACUUGUGCUAAUACCGGAUAAGCCCUUACGGGGAAAGAUUUAUCGCCGAAAGAUCGGCCCGCGUCUGAUUAGCUAGUUGGUGAGGUAACAGCUCACCAAGGCGACGAUCAGUAGCUGGUCUGAGAGGAUGAUCAGCCACAUUGGGACUGAGACACGGCCCAAACUCCUACGGGAGGCAGCAGUGGGGAAUAUUGGACAAUGGGCGCAAGCCUGAUCCAGCCAUGCCGCGUGAGUGAUGAAGGCCCUAGGGUUGUAAAGCUCUUUUGUGCGGGAAGAUAAUGACGGUACCGCAAGAAUAAGCCCCGGCUAACUUCGUGCCAGCAGCCGCGGUAAUACGAAGGGGGCUAGCGUUGCUCGGAAUCACUGGGCGUAAAGGGUGCGUAGGCGGGUCUUUAAGUCAGGGGUGAAAUCCUGGAGCUCAACUCCAGAACUGCCUUUGAUACUGAGGAUCUUGAGUUCGGGA